rnacentral:rRNA from 1 species
UUGAACGCUGGCGGCAGGCCUAACGCAUGCAAGUCGAGCGGAUGAAGGGAGCUUGCUCCUGGAUUCAGCGGCGGACGGGUGAGUAAUGCCUAGGAAUCUGCCUGGUAGUGGGGGAUAACGUCCGGAAACGGGCGCUAAUACCGCAUACGUCCAGAGGGAGAAAGUGGGGGAUCUUCGGACCUCACGCUAUCAGAUGAGCCUAGGUCGGAUUAGCUAGUUGGUGGGGUAAAGACCUACCAAGGCGACGAUCCGUAACUGGUCUGAGAGGAUGGUCAGUCACACUGGAACUGAGACACGGUCCAGACUCCUACGGGAGGCAGCAGUGGGGAAUAUUGGACAAUGGGCGAAAGCCUGAUCCAGCCAUGCCGCGUGUGUGAAGAAGGUCUUCGGAUUGUAAAGCACUUUAAGUUGGGAGGAAGGGCAGUAAGUUAAUACCUUGCUGUUUUGACGUUACCAACAGAAUAAGCACCGGCUAACUUCGUG